CUUGCUUCUCUUGAGAGCGGCGGACGGGUGAGUAAUGCCUAGGAAUCUGCCUGGUAGUGGGGGAUAACGUCCGGAAACGGACGCUAAUACCGCAUACGUCCUACGGGAGAAAGCAGGGGACCUUCGGGCCUUGCGCUAUCAGAUGAGCCUAGGUCGGAUUAGCUAGUUGGUGGGGUAAUGGCUCACCAAGGCGACGAUCCGUAACUGGUCUGAGAGGAUGAUCAGUCACACUGGAACUGAGACACGGUCCAUACUCCUACGGGAGGCAGCAGUGGGGAAUAUUGGACAAUGGGCGAAAGCCUGAUCCAGCCAUGCCGCG
rnacentral:rRNA from 1 species